GAAUUCGCCCUUAGAGUUUGAUCCUGGCUCAGGAUGAACGCUGGCGGCGUGCUUAACACAUGCAAGUUGAGCGAAGCUCACGGGAUUGACUCCUUCGGGAAGAUAUUCUUUGAGACUUAGUGGCGAACGGGUGAGUAACACGUGAGCAACCAACCCCUGACAGUGGAAUAACAACGGGAAACCGUUGCUAAUACCGCAUAAUAUCCCUGUAUGGCAUCAUAUGGGGAUCAAAGAUUUAUCGGUCAGGGACGGGCUCGCGUCCGAUUAGGUAGUAGGUAAGGUAACGGCUUACCUAGCCUGCGAUCGGUAGCCGGACUGAGAGGUCGAUCGGCCACAUUGGGACUGAGACACGGCCCAGACUCCUACGGGAGGCAGCAGUGGGGAAUAUUGGGCAAUGGGGGCAACCCUGACCCAGCGACGCCGCGUGAAGGACGAAGGCAUUCGUGUUGUAAACUUCUUUGGAGAGGGACGAAGAUGACGGUACCUCUCGAACAAGCCACGGCUAACUACGUGCCAGCAGCCGCGGUAAUACGUAGGUGGCAAGCGUUAUCCGGAAUUACUGGGUGUAAAGGGCGCGCAGGCGGCCCUGCAAGUCGGAUGUGAAAGAUCAAGGCUCAACCUUGACAGGCCAUUCGAAACUGUGGGGCUUGAGUGUCAGAGGGGAAAGUGGAAUUCCUAGUGGAGCGGUAAAAUGCGCAGAUAUUAGGAGGAACCCCGGUGGCGAAGGCGACUUUCUGGCUGACAACUGACGCUGAGGCGCGAAAGCGUGGGGAGCAAACAAGAUUAGAUACCCUGGUAGUCCA
rnacentral:rRNA from 1 species